GCAGCACCACCAUGAGGGCUUGGGAGAAGGCGUGACACUGAGGAGGCCCAGGGCAGGGCACACAAUGGGGAAGGAGACCAGAAAUUUGUGUUGACGGAUGGUCAAUCCCCUAUCUGAACACUGCUAAAGCUGACACUGCCAUCCACCGUAGAUUCAAGCACCUACCACCAGGCAUCUCUCCACCCGGGUUGCUCUCAGCUGACACCUGAGAGGUGUUGGAGGGCAGGGAUGUCUCCUGUGCAGAUCUGUGCCGCUCCCCUCACAACCACAGAGCCACCACGUAAGGACUGCCUUUUGGUGCCAUGACUCAGACAAAAAAUCAAGAGGCCACACUUCAGGCUAAGUAUCUAAUUGCCUUUUCAUUCCCCAGUGCUUAAUCAUCAGUAAAUACAGGAAUAAAACAUAACAAAGGGCAGCUCUGACAUACCCGAAUAGCUCCCUGCUCUGGUGCCCGGUCUGCACACCAGGGAAGAAGGCUGCAUGGGACUGCUCAGGAUCAAAGAGCAGAGAAUUCAAAGUACCCCGUAUGGUACAGCAUCUGGUUCUCCUUACUCGAUGUCAGACAAGUGAUCAAAGAUGCAGAAAGAGUGCUUGCACUAAUGCCAUCUCUUGAAAUAGCUUUGCCUAGUGAUCUGUAGGAAACAAUCGCGUGCGUGUAGGACGGGGCACCCCGCAGGCUCCCAGCUGCUGCGCAAGGUCAGGUCGGUGCCGCUCUUACAGUAAGGUUGCUUGAGGGCCCAGGAAGCUGAGCGAUUCAUGCAAGGUCGCCGAGAAAACUGAAAAGCAGAGCUGGGGACAGAGUUUAAAAGCUCUGAGUGCAAGACACCACAGGGAAAUUGUCUGCAAGCUUUCAGGGUUCAGACGACUGAAUGGAGAGCGAUGCUCGCCGGAGCCUUUUGCCCUGCCCCGACACGUGCAGAAGGAGCUGUGCCUGCGGUCCUGCCCCGCUGUCCCAGCACAGCUUCCAGGGAGAUGUGUCAGAGCAUCCCCCACCGGCAGUGUGAGUGGUGCAAAGGCUUCUCCAUAGAGCAGGCAGGAAUAAAAGCAUCAGAGAAACAGCACCGUUAGGGCUGGAGGGCUGUCCUCACCUGGGGCCCAAGAGCUCUGCAGCAAGAAGCUCAGGCCAGUUGUGGGAGAGGAUCCGAGCUGAAGGCAAGCACAGAGCAUCAGCGGGGUCCCAACCCCACAAAGACCCCCCAGCUGUGCCCAUGGGGUAAGAGUGGAGAAGAGUCACUGCACACAUC